rnacentral:tRNA from 1 species
GCCGGCGUAGCACAGUGGCCAUGCAGCGCACUUGUAAUGCGUCUACGGGAGUUCGAUUCUCUCCGCCGGCACCA